rnacentral:rRNA from 1 species
GUGGGGAAUUUUGGACAAUGGGCGAAAGCCUGAUCCAGCCAUGCCGCGUGCAGGAUGAAGGCCUUCGGGUUGUAAACUGCUUUUGUACGGAACGAAAAGACUCCUUCUAAUAAAGGGGGUCCAUGACGGUACCGUAAGAAUAAGCACCGGCUAACUACGUGCCAGCAGCCGCGGUAAUACGUAGGGUGCAAGCGUUAAUCGGAAUUACUGGGCGCAAAGCGUGCGCAGGCGGUUAUAUAAGACAGAUGUGAAAUCCCCGGGCUCAACCUGGGAACUGCAUUUGUGACUGUAUAGCUAGAGUACGGUAGAGGGGGAUGGAAUUCCGCGUGUAGCAGUGAAAUGCGUAGAUAUGCGGAGGAACACCGAUGGCGAAGGCAAUCCCCUGGACCUGUACUGACGCUCAUGCACGAAAGCGUGGGGAGCAAACAGGAUUAGAAACCCCUGUAGUCC